GGAGGGUGCAAGCGUUAAUCGGAAUUACUGGGCGUAAAGCGCACGCAGGCGGUUUGUUAAGUCUGAGAUGAAAGGCUAUGGCUCAACCAUAGUUUGUUUCAGAAACUGGCAGACUAGAGUGCAGUAGAGGCAAAUGGAAUUCAUAGUGUAGCGGUGGAAUGCGUAGAUAUUAUGAGGAACAUCAGUGGCGAAGGCGAUUUGCUGGGCUGUUACUGACGCUGAGACACGAAAGCGUGGGGAGCAAAUAGGAUUAGAUACCCUAGUAGUCCACGCUGUAAACGAUGAGCACUAAGUGUCGGGCAACCGGUGCUGAAGUUAACACAUUAAGUGCUCCGCCUGAGUAGU
rnacentral:rRNA from 1 species